GCCGUUUAGGCUGUUUAUUUAAGAGUCAGUUUCACUUUGCCAACAGGAAACUCCCCCAAGUGAGUGUGGGUUAUAAGGAACCUCUCUGGAUUCUUUUCAGUCAUUCAUCGAUGCUCACUUGACUUGACAGAGAGGAUCUCCAGGAAUUUCUAAAGCCCCUGGAUCCUCCAAGAUGUCCAGCCUGUGGAUAAGUCUGAGUCUGCUCUAUGUUCUACAAAGCUGUGUCUCAUCAGACCAAGGAGUGUCACUGAAUUGCAACAACACAGUGAAAGUUAGCGCUGGAAGUGAAGUGACACUGAAUUGCACCAUUGAGUGGAAACUGAAAAACGGGAACUGUAAAGGCGAAAUGUAUGAAUGGAAGAACACAAAUGGCACCAGCAUAUGUAGCAGUUUGACUGACAACUUGACUGAGUACAGCUGUUCUUGGGAUGAAGUGACUUACGUGUCGCUGACCAUCUCACAAGCCAAGAAAGAGGAAAAUGUGACAGUUGAAAUAAAUUCAAACUGUGGUAUGGAUUGGUCAACUAUCGAAGUUAAGAUCUUUGGUGAGUAGCUUCUUAAAGUCUGUGUAUGUGAAUGAAUGUGCUUCUGAUUCAUUUACAGAGCAAGUUGCUUUUAAUGCAGAUGUUGAAAUAAAUCUGUUUUACCUUGCCAGGGGAAAUCCAUCAAAAUUCAUCGACGUUUGAGGACCUGAAGUUACCUUUGUCUAUCACAUUUGGUGUUGUUGCUGCUGUUGUUGUUGUUGUUGUUGUAGUCACGUCGUAUUUAUUAUGUAGAACUUACAGUGACAGAAGAAAUGAUAAUUUACGUUAUUCCUCAACACAGCAAAAUGUGUAGCCUUUUUUUUAUUUUUACAUUUUUUUAGUUACAUUUGUAGAAUUCUUUUGACAUCUUUGUACAGACAGAAUCGUGUAAAUAUCGUAUGAUUAUUUGUGUUUGUACACUCUGAGCGAUGUAAAUAUGAUUUGAUUUGAAUAAAGGAACACUACUGAAUGUACCACA